AGUUGACCUCGGAUCAGGUGGGACUACCCGCUGAACUUAAGCAUAUCAAUAAGCGGAGGAAAAGAAACCAACAGGGAUUGCCCCAGUAACGGCGAGUGAAGCGGCACGAGCUCAAAUUUGAAAUCUGGCCCUUUGGGUCCGAGUUGUAAUUUGUAGAGGAUACUUUGGGCGUGAGGCCGGUCUAACUUACUUGGAACAGUAGGUCAUAGAGGGUGAGAAUCCCGUCUUAGACCUUUAGUCUCUGCCCGGGUAAAGUUCCUUCGACGAGUCGAGUUGUUUGGGAAUGCAGCUCUAAAUGGGUGGUAAAUUUCAUCUAAAGCUAAAUAUUGGCCAGAGACCGAUAGCGCACAAGUAGAGUGAUCGAAAGAUGAAAAGCACUUUGGAAAGAGAGUUAAACAGCAUGUGAAAUUGUUGAAAGGGAAGCGUUUGCGACCAGACGUGUGGGCGGUGGCUCUCGCGGUCUCGUUUGUUGGACCGUGGUAUUCCGUCGCCCCCAGGCCAGCGUCGGCUCGGGUGACCGGUAAAAUGGCCUGGAAAUGUAUCUACCUCCGGGUCGACUUAUAGCCCAGACCAUAAUACGGCCCACCCGGGCCGAGGAACGUGCUUCGGCUUGGAUGCUGGUGUAAUGGUCGUAAACGGCCCGUCUUGAAACACGGACCAAGGAGUCUAACAUCUAUGCGAGUGUUUGGGUGUUAAACCCGAGCGCGGAAUAAAAGUAAACGGAGGUAAGAGUCCCGUCCGGGGUGCAUUAUCGACCGAUCCUGAUGUCUUCGGAUGGAUUUGAGUAAGAGCAUAGCUGUUGGGACCCGAAAGAUGAUGAACUAUGCCUGAAUAGGGUGAAGCCAGAGGAAACUCUGGUGGAGGCUCGCAGCGGUUCUGACGUGCAAAUCGAUCGUCAAAUUUGGGCAUAGGGGCGAAAGACUAAUCGAAUCAUCUGGUAGCUGGUCCU
rnacentral:rRNA from 1 species